CUCGUUUCAUAUCAUGAGAAAGGGGUCGGUUGCUAUCUUUGGUUAUCUAGCUGUAUGAGUGUUUGUCUGCCGUCAUAAAGCUAGAUAACCGAAAGUAGAAAUGGUCUCCUAUACUGCGCUAGUUAUAUGCAAACAUAUCCAAAGAGCACCUGCUCGGGGAUCUACCUUCAGCUCCAUUCUGACUGUGGUGUCUUUGUGUGAGACUGGAGGACCACACACUGAAGCAAUACCAUCUGCCUCCUCCCACCAUCAGCGGAAACGUUUGGUGCCACGCAUGCCCCCAGAGAGGGGGGCUGGGGAGAGAAGGGAAAAAAAAAACUGACGAGCUAGAGGCAGCUUGUGUGCCAGUGGGGACAAAGAGGCUGCCAGUUGCCACGGUUGCUCCCCCACACCCCCCAGAUGCUGGAAGAUUGGAGCCCUGAACGAGGGGGCUGUGAGGAUGGGAAGCCAUCUUGAUGGAGAAGCUGCCUGCUUGUUUCCUAAAAUGGCUGUGUUGGCAUGAGAACCAGACUCCUGUCAAUGAUGACACCCAGCUGAUUGGAAAUCAAUGCCAUUAUAUCUGGUUUCAGAAUCAAUACAUCAUCGUCCAAUGUUUUGAAUUAGGAAACAAAUGGAAAAGCCAUUCCAGUUUCUGAUAGCUAAUGACAGAUCCUCACUAAUUAAUAGAGGUCAUUAAAAACAAUUCAAAUGCUGGCAAAAUAUUGUUUAGUUCCAUGAACAAUCUGUAUAAAAUAGUAUAUUUUAUACACUCUGUACCUUCUAAACUAUAAACUAUUUUGUUCUAAGCUGUAUAUUGUAUCCGUAAGGUACAAGGUAUUUUAUGAUCUGUUCAGUCUGCCCAGAAUACUAGCAGAUAAGAAUGUGCCUUAAUGUGUGAACUGUUUACAGUGAAAGAGUAGUUUGCAUCUAUUAAUAGACUGUACUGUACAGUAUUAAUGAAUGCACCAGUCAUUUAUAUUCCCCCAUUUUAAAUGUGCUUUUAAUGUCUUUGCGACUAAAUGAAAUGUAUGUCAUUCCAUGAUGAAAAUUAUAUCCAUUACAACUUGCCUUUUCACUGAGGAAUUUCAGCUCGACAGGAAAUGGUGCUUUUUGCUUAAUAAUCAGGAUAUUAUUCUGACACAUGCACUGAAGAAAAAAAUGAAAAGCUAUAACUUCUCUGGUUCUUCUCCUGUUUAGCAGUGUGAUUUGUGCUUGAUACUUUAUUCAGUGAUGUAUGAAAUGGAGUCAAUAAACUUGCUCAAUAUGAAACUGAUA